ACUCCUGACUGCCAGCUGGGAAGAAAGUUCUGCAGGUGGAGAUGUGAUUUUACAAAUGACAGCCCAUGAAGGGCUGAGGUGAGACUCACGAAUAGUUUGGCCUAAAGGCUUUUCCUUCUGUUUUCCUGGACCCUUCCAAGUGUGAACUGAAUAGAAGACUUCUCCACUGGGCUCUGCCCAUCCUUCCUCAUAUGUCAUCUGUAAUGAGAGCCUACAAGGGGAAACAUCCAUAGGAAAAAGAAAUCACAAAACCCAAGCAAUUACUCUACAUAUUGGUCCAUGUAAUAAAUAAAU